rnacentral:lncRNA from 1 species
UCCGGCACCAAAAAGCAGUCAGAGAAUUAAAAAUUAGAUUAAUUAGAAGUCUGUUUAGAUAAUAAUUUGAUUCCUGGUCUGUCUUAAAACAUGAAUAUGAAGAACUGUGGCAGGAAGAUCUUUAGGAAAAUGGGAGACUCAAAAGAAUACUUGAUGUAAUGGUGCCAAAUGUGAACUAUAAGGAAGACAAUGCAGGAAGAAAAGCGCAAUUUAAAAUGCCAGCCUAAAGAAAAAGAGACAGUUCUCAGAACAUUCGCAUCCAGAAUUAUAUCUCCCGGGCAGAAGGAUUCCUCUAUGGAGAAACCAAGAGAAAAGACCUGACACUUUGAGGCUCCCCGGCAAAAUGGCCAGGCUCCUACCUUAUAGCACUGCAGUGAAGCCCAUUGGAUAGCAAGCUCCAUCUGUGCACACAAUCAGCUAUUUAGUUCCUUGAUAAAUAUAUUGUUGAUAAAUAUAAAUGGAUAACUAAGAAUCCCAAGGGAUCUGAGUAAAGUGUUCACCAUGAAAGACAGUUUUAGUAACAAAAUUUUAGUAACAGAGAAGCGGAGCAGGGUGAAUAUCCUGGGCUUAGUAUCAUGUGAGACGUCAGAAGAUGUUAUAUCCAUAAGACAAAAACAGAAAAAUAUAAAAUAAACAUUCAAAAAAUUAAAAAAUACUAUUGGAAAUGUAAAAAUACAAUGAAAUAAAAAUUCAACAGAAUAUUGGAAAAUGUGGAAGAAAUCUUCAGAAAGUAACCAAAAAGAUCAAGAUAUGAAAAAAAGCAGAAAAAAAUACAAAACUUAGAGGAUCAAUGCAAGAAGUAAAACGUUACACUAGUAGGCAUUUUAGAAAAAGUUAACAGAUAAAAUGGAAUAGUAAAUUUUUCAAGAAAGUAAUACAAGAAAAUCUUGACCUGAGAGAUCUGAGUCUCCCAACUGAAAAGGACUUUUUGAGUUCGCAGAACAAUAACACCAAGGCACAUCAUUGUGAAAUUUUACAGUUGGAAAAAGAGAAGAUCCUAAAAUCAGAAAUCCUAUAGGCUUAUAAGCAACAAGCUCAGAAUCUAGAGUAAAGUGAAGGAAUGUCUUCACAAUUCUGAGGAGAAAUGAUUGGUAAACUGGAAUCGUACACUCAGCCAAACUGUCAAUCAAGUGUAAGGUUUGUA